rnacentral:rRNA from 1 species
UACGGAGGUCUCAAGCGUUGUUCGGAUUCAUUGGGCGUAAAGAGCUCGUAGGCGGUUUGUCGCGUCUGCCGUGAAAGUCCGGGGCUCAACUCCGGAUCUGCGGUGGGUACGGGCAGACUAGAGUGAUGUAGGGGAGACUGGAAUUCCUGGUGUAGCGGUGAAAUGCGCAGAUAUCAGGAGGAACACCGAUGGCGAAGGCAGGUCUCUGGGCAGUUCCUGACACUGAGGCACGAAGGCCAGGGGAGCAAACGGG